CAGCCCCAUACUUCACUUUUAAAAAGUAUAGAUUUGUUCCUGGGAAGAAGCUGAUCUAUCAAGGACUGUAUAUACCAGCCCCCAUACAUUCAGAUGGGACAACAUAACAAGCUCUUACCAACAGAAUGCAAGUGGACAGAAUAUAGAGAUGGAAGUAUAUAAGCGUCAGGCUUGGGAUUCUCUGCAAUCUUCUAUUCUCACCUGCUGGUAUUGGUUCUCCAGAAAGAAGAGUCUGAAACAUAGGCUUAUGUGCAAGUAUUGUAUUGGUUUAAAUCUGAUGUUGAAAAAAGAUACCAGAGUUGACUGAAGCCUCUCAUGUACUCCUCCUGGAGCCCAUUUACCUCUCAGUGUUUUCAAGCCAGUAUCCAAAUCAUAAUUUUGGGAGAGAGGAGCAAUGGACUUUUUGAGAAUUCAGAAUGUAAAGAAAGUGUCCUACCGAUUUUUAAGAAAAUCUAAAAAGAACGAAGAUCCCUAUUAGCUGAGAGACCGAGAAGCUCACAGUCCCCAACGCUACAGACACUCUCAGUAAAUUCAGGACGCACCCUAAUUUGGCAUAAUCUCAUCUUGAUCCUUACCUUAAUUAUGUCUACAAAGACCUGAUUUCCAAAUAGACUCACAUUCUGAGGUUCCAGGUGGAUGCGAAUUUUG
rnacentral:lncRNA from 1 species